GGAGGACAGGCUGUGGCCAGGUGGAGAGGAGGACAGGCUGUGGCCAGGUGGAGAGGAGGACAGGCUGUGGCCAGGUGGAGAGGAGGACAGGCUGUGGCCAGGUGGAGAGGAGGACAGGCUGUGGCCAGGUGGAGAGGAGGACAGGUUGUGGCCAGGUGGAGAGGAGGACAGGCUGUGGCCA